rnacentral:rRNA from 1 species
CAAUAGCGUAUAUUUAAGUUGUUGCAGUUAAAAAGCUCGUAGUUGGAUUUCGGGUGGGACGCAGCGGUCUCGCAUUGCGUUUGUACUGCUGCAGCCCUCCUUCUUGCCGGGGGCGGCCUCUCGGACUUCACUGUCUGGGGGUCAGAAUCGGCGAUGUUACUUUGAGUAUAUUAGAGUGUUCAAAGCAAGCUUACGCUCUGAAUAUAAUAGCAUGGGAUAACACGACAGGACUCUGGCCUAUCGUGUUGGUCUAUAGGACCAGAGUAAUGAUUAAGAGGGACAGUCGGGGGCAUUCGUAUUCCGUUGUCAGAGGUGAAAUUCUUGGAUUUACGGAAGACGAACAUCUGCGAAAGCAUUUGCCAAGGAUGUUUUCAUUGA